UCGGGAAUUUUGGGCAAUGGGCGAAAGCCUGACCCAGCAACGCCGCGUGAAGGAUGAAAUCCUUCGGGAUGUAAACUUCGCAAGAACGGGAAGAAUAAGUAAGGGUUAAUAUCUCUUACGAUGACGGUACUGUUUGUAAGCUCCGGCUAACUCCGUGCCAGCAGCCGCGGUAAUACGGGGGGAGCAAGCGUUGUUCGGAUUUACUGGGCGUAAAGGGCGCGUAGGCGGCCACCGCAAGUCGACUGUGAAAUCUCCGGGCUUAACCCGGAAAGGUCAGCCGAUACUGCGGGGCUAGAGUGCAGAAGGGGCAACUGGAAUUCUCGGUGUAGCGGUGAAAUGCGUAGAUAUCGAGAGGAACACCUGCGGCGAAGGCGGGUUGCUGGGCUGACACUGACGCUGAGGCGCGAAAGCUAGGGGAGCGAACGG
rnacentral:rRNA from 1 species